AUUGAACGCUGGCGGCAGGCCUAACACAUGCAAGUCGAGCGGAUGAGAGGGGCUUGCUCCUCGAUUCAGCGGCGGACGGGUGAGUAAUGCCUAGGAAUCUGCCUAGUAGUGGGGGACAACGUUUCGAAAGGAACGCUAAUACCGCAUACGUCCUACGGGAGAAAGUGGGGGAUCUUCGGACCUCACGCUAUUAGAUGAGCCUAGGUCGGAUUAGCUAGUUGGUAGGGUAACGGCCUACCAAGGCGACGAUCCGUAACUGGUCUGCGAGGAUGAUCAGUCACACUGGAACUGAGACACGGUCCAGACUCCUACGGGAGGCAGCAGUGGGGAAUAUUGGACAAUGGGCGAAAGCCUGAUCCAGCCAUGCCGCGUGUGUGAAGAAGGCCCUCGGGUCGUAAAGCACUUUAAGUUGGGAGGAAGGGCUUACAGCGAAUACCUGUGAGUUUUGACGUUACCGACAGAAUAAGCACCGGCUAACUUCGUGCCAGCCGCCGCAGUAA
rnacentral:rRNA from 1 species